rnacentral:rRNA from 1 species
CGGCCAGACUCCUACGGGAGGCAGCAGUGAGGAAUAUUGGUCAAUGGGCGGGAGCCUGAACCAGCCAAGUCGCGUGAGGGAUGACGGCCCUAUGGGUUGUAAACCUCUUUUGCCGGGGAGCAAAGUGCCGCACGUGUGCGAUUUGGAGAGUACCCGGAGAAAAAGCAUCGGCUAACUUCGUGCCAGCAGCCGCGGUAAUACGGAGGGUGCAAGCGUUGUCCGGAAUCAUUGGGCGUAAAGAGUUCGUAGGCGGCAUGUAAAGUCAGGUGUUAAAGGCGCAGGCUCAACCUGUGUAUGGCACUUGAUACUUGCAAGCUGGAAUGCGGUAGAGGUAAAGGGAAUUCCUGGUGUAGCGGUGAAAUGCUUAGAUAUCAGGAGGAACAUCGGUGGCGUAAGCGCUUUACUGGGCCGUAAUUGACGCUGAGGAACGAAAGCCAGGGUAGCAAAUGGGAUUAGAUACCCUAGUA